rnacentral:rRNA from 1 species
UGGGGGAUAUUGCACAAUGGGGGGAACCCGUGAUGCAGCGACGCCGCGUGGGUGAAGAAGCGCCUCGGCGCGUAAAGCCCUGUCAGCAGGGAAGAAAAUGACGGUACCUGAAGAAGAAGCCCCGGCUAACUACGUGCCAGCAGCCCGGUAAUCACUCGCU